GUGCCAGCAGCCGCGGUAAGACGGAGGGUGCAAGCGUUGUUCGGAUUGACUGGGCGUAAAGGGCGUGUAGGCGGUUGGUCAAGUCGGGUGUGAAAGCCUGGGGCUCAGCCUCAGAAGUGCAUCCGAAACUAGCCAGCUAGAGCGCGAUAGAGGAGGGUGGAAUUCCUGGUGUAGCGGUGAAAUGCGUAGAUAUCAGGAGGAACACCGGCGGCGAAGGCGGCCCUCUGGCUCGUUGCUGACGCUGAGACGCGAAAGCGUGGGGAGCAAACAGGAUUAGAUACCCCGGUAGUCC
rnacentral:rRNA from 1 species